GGGGACAUGGCGCAGCGGUAGCGCGUCUGCUUUGCAUUAUUUGUUCUUGUAGAAGGUCAGGGGUUCAAGCCCCCUUGUCUCCA
rfam:Valsa mali strain 03-8 chromosome 3, whole genome shotgun sequence.